rnacentral:lncRNA from 10 species
UACAGGGUCGGGAGGGAACUUCCUGGAAGGAGGGCUGGUUGCCCCAGACACAGCAGGUGAAGUUCCAGGAAGAGGAGCUGGAGAAGAGCUAGAGAUUCCACGGGGCCAGUUCUGCUUUGGAGCUGCCCAUGUGGCCUGGGUUGGGCCCAGGUUGGUUCUGCCCCAGCUCCCAACUGCCUACUUAACAUUCACAGACUUCUUCCUCCCAUCCCACCUUCUCCUCUGCCAGGAUAGCCCCUCCCUACAAUGCCACCUCCCCAAACAUAGACACGCUGGGUCCUACCGCCACACCUCUGCUCAAGGUGGGCACUCCUCCGAGAUCAGUACCACAUCCGUUUGCUCCUCCCUGUGUCCCCAGUGGAUGCCGGCAACCGUGACCUGGGUGACCAUACCAAUAGCAGCUGCCAUUUAAUGACAGCCACUCUGGCCGCUCCACUGGCUGCACACCACUGGAGUUUCCUGUUCUCCAAGCAGCCUUCCACUUCUGCCCCGGUCACGUGGAGUUCCACUGCCAAGCUACUAAAGCCCAGGAAGUCUGCUGUGGACUCAGGUUAGGGUGGACUCCUGCCCCUGCUGGGACUCUGGGAGCAGGGUCUGCGUCCUCUACCCUCUGCUGCUUCCAGUGUGGCUGCCCACAGGGCUGGGCACUCAGGGGACAGGGGUGACAGUAAGGAACCCAGAAAGGGCCCAAAGAGUUGACUUGAAUCUCAGGCAGGAUGCAGGGCUGUGUGUUUUAAGGAAGAGGUUUACCCAAGGCCUGGACAACGAAUCAGAGAGAACUCCA